CGCUUCCCCAUCUUUGUAACACUGCCUUGUAGUCUAUGAAGAUAGAAAUACAAGCCGAGGCUUCCUAGACUGGGUUCCAAUGUCAACCCAGUCCCCCAUUCGUUGGCUUCGUUGGGCGGGUCAUUAAAUCUCUCAGGAGCCAGAGUUUCUUCGUCUAUAAGAUGAGAAUUUACAUUUUGUCUUCUUCGGGAGAUAGGUUGAAGAAGAGAGAAAAUAAAACUCCACCCAGAGAAAAGCCCGGGAAACAUUCCUGCCUGCAGCAGGACCUGGGUCCAUCAAGUUCAGGCUCCUGCAGAAUGUCUGCCGGCCUGCCGGAGGGAUCUGUGGCAACCUUGCCUGACCUCUCCCCCCUCCCUCCAGCGAGCACUGCACUGUCCCUGAAUCAGAACGUUGGGCUCCACUGCGUUUGUUGCGCAGUAAGCAGUGAGAUGGAUUUUCAAGCUCUGUCUCCGCACCACCGCCGCCGCCACCAUGAACACCCGCCAGAGUUGGCAGUCUGUAAUAUGCAAAAAUCCACCCAGAAAUGGAAGAGGGGACAUUUGCACAAGCUGGGUUGUGUCUACAGAAUUAGAAGGCACAGUUGGACUAAUUUUAGUGCCGAAAAAUUGGAAACACUGGGAAUAAGGCCCGGUGGGGAAAUCCAAUCAAGCCGAGCCUGAGAAUUUAUGAGAAGAGAGCGAAGCACUUUGAAGAAAGGCGCCCUUGUCUCCAGCCUGGCCAUGGCCCCCGCGGUGUGUGAAUGCACAAUGAGGGCCUUCCCCAGCCCUUCCCAGGGGGCGCGGAGGAGGCCCGUCCUGCCCUCAGAAUGGGAAGACCAACAACAACACGCCCAUUUCCUACGGCAAGUAAGACCUACAUUGGAUUCAAACUCAGAGCUGCCUGCUCCUCCCAUCUGCAAGUCCCAAAAUGAGGAAAACAACAAGAAUUCUGAGUAACUCCACUAGUGAUGGUCAGGAGAAUGAAGUCUGAUGACUCACACAAUCCCAACCCCCUGCUACCAACAUGAAGGGAGGCCACUGGUGACCUCUAAGGACUUGAGAUGUGCCUGCGCCUGUGCUGAGCCAGUAUUUCCAAGGAGAAUGAAACCUCUAAUCAAGACUCCGGGGGUUCCUCAGUUCUAUACAAUAACCACAGCUCACCCCGAAGGACAGAACAGGGCUGGCUUCAGGAAUGCGCUUGAUGCAGGAUGUUUCUGGCUGUGGACACCAGCCCGUACCUGGCGUUUACCCCAUCAUUUCUCCAGGGAUGUGAAAGAAACUACAUAGAGAACAAAUAUGACAGAUUCCUCCCCAGCCGGUCGGAAUGCUCAGUCAAGGCCACGUGGAGCCGGAUGUCCGAGCUCUGUGAACUGGCCCUCUGCAGACAAAGGCAGACUGGGGGUAAUAAAGAUGACAGGUCAUAAU